CAAAGAGGGAAGAGCCCAGCACUGAAUCCCCAUCUGACAGGCUGGCGCGGGAAAUGUGGGGUAUAGAAGACCGCUGCUGGGGGGCCUGAGUCCUUCUGAUCGAGGCUCAGCCUGUGGACGGUGUGAGGCCGGUAACGGCCCCCCCGCGCAGGGUCAG